CAGCAGCCGCGGGAAUACGUAGGGUGCAAGCGUUAUCCGGAAUUAUUGGGCGUAAAGAGCUCGUAGGCGGUUUGUCGCGUCUGCCGUGAAAACUGGAGGCUCAACCUCCAGCCUGCAGUGGGUACGGGCAGACUAGAGUGCGGUAGGGGAGAUUGGAAUUCCUGGUGUAGCGGUGGAAUGCGCAGAUAUCAGGAGGAACACCGAUGGCGAAGGCAGAUCUCUGGGCCGUAACUGACGCUGAGGAGCGAAAGCGUGGGGAGCGAACAGGAUUAGAUACCCCUGUAGUCCCUGUCUCUUAUAU
rnacentral:rRNA from 1 species